AUGAUAUACUCGCGAGUGCUCAUGUCUUGCUUUUUUUUUAAUUUACGUUGCUUAGCAUUCGUGCCUUCCUGGUCUAAAGUCAUUGAACUGAUAUCCAGAGUACGGGUUCCACCAGCCUGUAAUACUAGGUAAUAUUUCUUCUGCCUUUUGGACUCUGGAUGAUCUACUACGAUACCACCCGCAAAGCCUGCCUUCCUUGCAGUGUCCAUAAUCAUUUGUUGAGACUUUUCGGUUUCCGGGUAAUACUGCAUUACCGCACGUCCUCCACGUUUCAUGCUAAUAUACAAAGUUUGAAAAAACCUAUUAAGACGUCGUUGUGGUACAUUGCAUGUUUUAUCGGCGUUCAGCAACCAUUGUAUAGCAGAAAUUGAAAUAACGCCAUCAAAAGUACCAGGGCGAAAGGGGACACCAGUUCCCAUAUCACAAAGUAAUAAGUCCCCUUCUAUCUCUUGAGAUUCCAAGGCGACUGAAAGCAUCGAAGGUGAAAUGUCCAUUCCAACGACAACAUGACCUUGACUUUCUCCAAUUUGCGUUGAAAUACCAGAACCGCAACCUAUAUCCAAAAUGAAAGAUGGUCCUUCAGCAUCAAGCAAUUCCAAAGCUCGCUCACUCAUCUCAGUCUGAAUUGAUUGAAUACGAGUACUGAAUUGAUCGUUAGUCUUAAAUUUAACUUUUUUCACAUGAUCAGA